rnacentral:tRNA from 2 species
CCCUGGUUAGCUCAAUCGGUAGAGCGCUCCACCUGUAAUGGAGAGGUCCCGGGUUCGAUACCCGGACCAGGCG